rnacentral:rRNA from 1 species
GACGAACGCUGGCGGCGUGCUUAACACAUGCAAGUCGAACGGAAAGGCCCUGCUUUUGUGGGGUGCUCGAGUGGCGAACGGGUGAGUAACACGUGAGUAACCUGCCCUUGACUUUGGGAUAACUUCAGGAAACUGGGGCUAAUACCGGAUAGGACCUCCUGCUGCAUGGUGUGGGUUGGAAAGUUUCGUCGGUUGGGGAUGGACUCGCGGCUUAUCAGCUUGUUGGUGGGGUAGUGGCUUACCAAGGCUUUGACGGGUAGCCGGCCUGAGAGGGUGACCGGCCACAUUGGGACUGAGAUACGGCCCAGACUCCUACGGGAGGCAGCAGUGGGGAAUAUGGCACAAUGGGCGGAAGCCUGAGGCAGGAACGCCGCGGGCGGGAUGACGGUCUUCGGUUUGUAAACCGCUUUCGCCUGUGACGAAGCGUGAGUGACGGUAAUUGGUAAAGAAGCACCGGCUAACUACGUG